rnacentral:rRNA from 1 species
UACGUAGGGUGCGAGCGUUGUCCGGAAUUAUUGGGCGUAAAGGGCUCGUAGGCGGUUUGUCGCGUCGGGAGUGAAAACACCGGGCUUAACUCGGUGCUUGCUUUCGAUACGGGCAGACUAGAGGCAUGCAGGGGAGAACGGAAUUCCUGGUGUAGCGGUGAAAUGCGCAGAUAUCAGGAAGAACACCCGUGGCGAAGGCGGGUCUCUGGACAGUUCCUGACGCUGAGGCACGAAGGUCAGGGGAGCAAACGGG